CCCAGCUCUCAGUCAGCUGGCUAGGCGGUUUGUGCCUGGUUCAGUGUUACAGUGCUGGUAGAGGAAGUCUCUGUACCUGGUCUCAGCUGUGUAGGCUCUGUUUUAGAGUCCACUGCAUCUGAGCUGCUGCAGAGCGCGGCCCAACGAGAGUGGCCUGUUCUGGUCCAAGAGCAGGCCUAGUACAGGGCUGCACAUU